UCUGAAAUCUUAAACUUGUUGAGUGCUGACAUGACACCCAGAAGUUUCAGAUUUUAGAGC
rnacentral:pre_miRNA from 1 species